rnacentral:rRNA from 1 species
UGAAGAAGGUGCCAAGGGUCGGUCUGUUCGCCCGUUAAAGUGAUACGCGAGCUGGGUUCAGAACGUCGUGAGACAGUUCGGACUCUAUCCUGUAGAAGCGUUGGAAUCUUGAGGAGAGCUGGGGACAGUACGAGAGGACCUCCCUGGAGGAAUCCCUGGUGUGCCGGUUAUUGCGUCAGCAGUAACGCCGGGUAGCUAUAUUCCUAACGGAUAACCGCUGAAAGCAUCUAAGUGGGAAGCCAACUCCGAGAUUAGGAUUCCGUAUUAAAUCCCUGGUAGAAUACCAGGUUAAUCGGCAGGCGCUGGAAGACCCGUAAGGGUUUAAGGCUACCUGUACGAAUAGAUUGAUUUCUUG